GAUGAACGCUGACAGAAUGCUUAACACAUGCCAGUCCACUUGAAUUUGGGUUUUUAACUUAGGUUUGGGUGGCGGACGGGUGAGUAACGCGUAAAGAACUUGCCUCACAGCUAGGGACAACAUUUGGAAACGAAUGCUAAUACCUAAUAUUAUGAUAAUAGGGCAUCCUAUAAUUAUGAAAGCUAUAAGCGCUGUGAGAGAGCUUUGCGUCCCAUUAGCUAGUUGGAGAGGUAACGGCUCACCAAGGCGAUGAUGGGUAGCCGGCCUGAGAGGGUGAUCGGCCAUAAGGGGACUGAGACACGGCCCUUACUCCUACGGGAGGCAGCAGUGGGGAAUAUUGGACAAUGGACCGAGAGUCUGAUCCAGCAAUUCUGUGUGCACGAUGAAGUUUUUCGGAAUGUAAAGUGCUUUCAGUUGGGAAGAAACAAAUGACGGUACCAACAGAAGAAGUGACGGCUAAAUACGUG
rnacentral:rRNA from 1 species